AGCACUACAAAGAUCUGGCUUUACCAUGUGUCCACGCUUACAAGUAAUCUGCAUCAUAGUUAAGGGAAAGAGUAGGGACAUUCCUUGAGGCAAAAUUCGUCUUAUAGAAGUUAUUUUCAGAAUUAUGAACGCCAUGAAUCUCAGCUAGCAGCUUGUUCGAACGUGCAAACUUGCUCUUUGAAGCCACCGAUCAUAGAACCUCAGUUCCAACUUGUGUUUUGAAGCCAAUCGCGAGAGAUUCUCAGAUACAAGUUUGUUCCCUGAAGGCUCCAACCAAUUCCCUUAUGCCGCCCAUCGCAGAGAUCCGGGGGACUUCGAUUUUAGAAUCAAGGAAGAGAACAUAGAAAACAGGACAUACACAGGUUCUGAGCUCUAGAUCCCAGAGGAAGGCCAACAGCUUCGGAGCUCUAGAUCCCAGAGGAAGGCCAACAGGUUCUGAGCUCUAGAUCCCAGAGGAAGGCCAAGUUUGAUCUCCAGGUAAAAAAACCUAUUCGGAGAUUCCUAAUGAAGAAGAAGAAUGAUAAAAGAAAAAAUCGAAGGAUCAGAAUAUGAAUAAAAAGAAAACAAAUGCGAAACUCUGACACCUCCCAACGAUGACUGUACUACCUACAGUGUUUCAUACCGUUUUUCUCACAGAUACGGUAACUGCACAAAUGAUGAUGAUAAUGAAGGUGAUGAUAUUGAUGAUGAUCCUACUGAUGAUGAUGACGAUGCAGAAGUUGAACAUGGGGAGCUGUUUGAAUGGUAUUCUGCUUCUUCUGUUGAGUCAGAAACCAAAAAGUGUUUCACCUCCAUCAACCAAAAAUGAAGCUGUGAAUCAGAGACCAGCCAUGGCGAUCUCAAUAUGUUCAUCCCGUGCUAAACCCCGUAAAAAAUGCAUCACAAUGGAAAGCUCUGAAGUCCCGAGAAGCCGGGAACAAACCAGUAUUAGGAAGGAAAGAGAACAUUCCUUCUGAACAAGAAGCAUUGAUCAAUUUCAGUUCAGAUACAGAGCAAGAAAUGCGGGUGGAUUCUAGUCUCUCGAAUUGGUUAAGCCCUAUUGGCACGACUGCAGAGAAUUUCAGGGAUGCUACUCUUUACUUAAGUAACAUUGGAAAAUGUGGAGUGGUUUUUGGGGCAUUAACAGAUGAAAAGAUCAAUAGGAUGCAUCCUCAAGGAUAAGAAUACCAGUCCCCAGUGACAAACUUAGUAAAUCUUCGGCCUCAGAUGAAUUCUCAGAGAAAUUUAGCAGUGAGAUUAAAGGAAUACCAAAUACAACCAGUAAAUACAGAGAGGUACCAAAUCAAACAGAAGAGUGACUUGAAAGAUUAUGUGUAUGAAAAUAAAAAUAAAGUUGACAAAUUUUAUAUGCUGCAGGAUCAAAGAGUGAGUUGUUACUCCAACCCAUUCCAGGUGAGGCAAGAUAGGUGAAGGUUAAGGUGAAGCAUAUUCCAGUCGUCUUCCUUGCUGCUGUUUUGCUAAAGACUGUGUACUUUUGUGCGAUUUAACCAAAAGUUUAAAAAUGGAGAGGAAUUUAAUGUUGUUUCAAGGUUCGGAAGGUUUUCUAGAGGUACAAAGAUUAUUUCUCUGGGUCUUUUGUGCAGUUAUGCAUGGCUUUUUUGCUUGAUGGAAAUAGAACUUCGGUGCAACAGUGUGAAGCAUUUGUUA